AGAAUGUCAACACACCUCUCUGAGCUUCACUUUGCUCUUCCGAAAGUGGAGUGGUCAGAAGAUGAACCUCAUGGGGUUACUGGAGGAAAUCAUGGGAUAAGCUGUGGCAGGUGCUUCCCUGGCGCCUGGCUCUGCAGAAAGGACUGCUGGACAUUUUCAUCUUUAUUAAUUCUCUCUCUCCCAUGGAGAAGCUCUCUGCCUCACUCCAAACUGUCCCGUGGCUUUCCUGAGUUUGGAAAGCCUCAUGGAAAACAACCUCUUUUCCCAUUUGUAAAGUAGUUUUGAGAUUCCAUCCAACUGGUCCUGGUCCUUGUCCUCAGGGUAGCCAAAUUAGGGAUUUCCGGGGGCGGGCAGAGGAGCCCUGGAGCCAUGUCAACACCUGGGGAGGUUCCGGUUGAGUUCAUCCUUCAACAGUCUCUAUUAAACACCUACUUCAUGCAGGCACUUUCCUGGAUAAUGUCAUUUAGUAAAUGGAGCAGACUCAAUCCUUGGGCGUGAGAUCCUGUCUUAGAGUGGGACAGUCACUCUAGACAUCAUAAGCAGUCAUGUUCACAGCAUAUUGGAUGUCACACCCCCAUGGCCUCUUGUAGAUAUGGAUGCAUCUUGCCGUAUUCCAUCCAGGGUGACCAACAGGAGCUCCAUCUAAGAACGUGAGUGGUCUUUGGGUGCAGAAGGCAGGCCUCCUGUCUCCACAGAAGAGCCUGGGAGUCUCUGGGGGCUGUGGCUGGGGAAGGACUGACUGGCAGAACUCUGGAUCUCGCACAGGUUUGAUUCCCAUGAGAGGGCUGAGGUCUGGGGCCUUGCCCUUCAUGAGGACAUGAGUCAAAGAGACCUGUGGGUGGGGUCGCAGCCUCCCUGAGAAGCAGAGGGGAGGGGACUGAGUGGGCCUUGAGAGACCCAUCCUUUCCACAGUCCCAUGUCACCCUGUGCCCUCUCCACAUCCACUUGUCCUAACCACCACCACCGGGGCCCCAGAUAGUAGGUGUGGUGAGCCGCCUGCUCACCAAUCUGCCUCCAACCUAAGUCCUGAUGCUCAUGUGCAUGGGGGAUGGGGUCGGCUCUGGCCAGGCCCUGGGAGAAGAGUGUCAGUGGGCAGAUGAGACUCCCACAGGCUCUCUGUUAGACCUGGUCGAUGACCAGGCCUUCCACUGCACGGACAGCCACAGGGGGUUGGGUGUGGGCUGGGCCAUCCUGUGGGUCCUUGACCCAGAUAAGGGAGCUGUGGGAGCACGGUGUGGAAGGAAAGGCCAGGCUUCAGACUCCACUUCACACGACUCUCCCCACUGCCCUCUCUCUCAUGCUGGGCACCUGGCCAGAACAGAACUCUCAGACUUCCAUGCAGCCCCUGCACUGUCCCUUUUUCAAGGUAAAGGGGCUGUACGUGCAGGUUACCUUACCUAGCUCUGUCCUGAAUUGCUGUGACCCUGUGAUCCUGGUCUAGUUGGAGCUUCUAGAGGCCACUGAAGCAGAGUCAGAGGGUAAGGGGGGCUGCAGGCUGUGAAGACUAUCUGGGGUGGGUUCAUGGGCUGGGUAUUCCUGUAAGGGCAGUGGGAUCUUUCCUGUUUGGGGUAAGGCAAUGGAAAGUCAGUCAUGUGGGUGAACCCUUCUCUUUAUCCUGCUCCAGUGCCAGCUCCAGGUCUCCAGCCAGCUGCAGAACCACAACAGUGGCCAGUUGCGGAGGUAGAGCCAGCUCCAGCUCCAGCUCCAUUGAUACCACCACCUGUAGCGCUGGAGCUAGCAUCACCGCCAUCAGCAGUGUUGGAGCUGGAGCAAGGACCAGCAUCAGCUCCAGCGGGAGUGGCAGCUCCUGAGCUAGAGUCACCUGGACCACCAGGUCUAAUGGGAAUUCCAUCACCAGCUCCAAAAAUACAGCGGCUCGAAACCCAGAGCCUUCCUGCCCCAGGCCUGUGGCCGGUAAGAACCCGCUGAGCGAGGAGAAGCCUAACCUCCCAGCCUUCCCUCCUAAGCAGGUCGCAGAACAGCUAACGAUCGUGGACGCGGGGAGCAGCUGGGCUCUCAGGGCAGGGUGGGGCAGGCCUUCCCCCUGCCAUCAGCUGCCCCAGACCUGAUCUGGACUCCUAUGAUCUGGGUCCACAUCCCGGCUCCACCCCUUCCCUACCAAAUGACCUGGGCAACUUCCUGAAGGCCCACGCCUUUGCUGUCCACCUGUGGACAGUAGAAGAGGACACUAACAGGACCUGCUGCACAGGGUGGCUGUGCCCAGUAAAUGGGGAAGAAGAGAUGGGAAGCCGGACGGGGCCUGAGCCAUUGGGUGGGGCAGCGUCCUGGGUCAUCCUGUGCUGGGUGUCCUCAGUGGACAGAGAAUACAACCCAGGGGCUCCCACGAGGCUCAGGCCACAUCCUCAGCUUCCUCAGCUCCACCUCUAAACUGUGAGCCCUGCCUGGGAUUUUAGGGGCUGCAGACACAGAGCUGGGGUGUGGCAGGGCCAAGUGACACUCCCCGUGUCCCAAUAGCUCUUCAGCAAGUUGGUGCCCUCUCAGUGCCUGAGUCCACUUGGGGCAAGAGAAACAAGCAUGGGAACGAGCACCGUCUGGGGGUCCACCAACCACUUCAAAGUGUGGUCAACUGUGUUAUCACCACCUGCCUGGGGAACCCAAGUAUGAUGGCCUGGGACAGGGUUAAAGUCAUGGAGCUCUGGAUUCAGGUGGCCCAGGGAUGCUGUGGGAGGCCAGUGCGCUCCCUCUCUGGGGCCUUGGGAGCUGCUGCUGCUCCUUUAUCAGGUCUCAGGAUUGAAGUGUGUGGUCUAAGGUCCUGCACAGUCCCUAGGCCCUUCCUGCCAGGGACAUGCAGACCUGGAGUCCAGGUCCCAGCAGUAGGAUGCGCACUUCCUACCUGGCUCCUUCCUUGGGUGGAGCUAAAAUCCUGCUCUCUGUGAGUGUUCCUCUUUGGGUCCUAAAUGUGCCCUUGCAGGGCUCCCUGAGCACCUGUCUUUUCCAGGACGGGAGAUUUAAAUUGAAGGGGACUGAAGCCAGAGCAAGCGAGGCCCCAGCGCCCCACCGACAGCUCAUUCUUUUCCCUUCCCAGGAGUGUGACAUCCUAACGAACUUCUCACAACACGCUGUUGUCUCUGCUCUGCAGAAUAUCUCCUUAGACCGUCUGGAGAAAACGUGGGGGAGUUUCCUGGUCGGUGGGCCUCUGCACACGAGACCUGGUAGAGGAGGGACCUCCCGUAUGUCUGCCAUUGCCCCUCAGUCACCGGGGAACGCCUGGGAGGCGGCAAACCCUGGGGACAGGGCCUGGGCAGGAGGGGGGCUCCCUAAGCCUCCUGGGGUCCUGAGUGCACCAGUUCUGCUUCAGGAAUCAGUUUCCUUGAAUGGCAGGUGCUGCUGGGCUGAGCGAAAUCGGAGAUUUUCAAGUGCUGACUUGAUAGCAACAGUUGAAGCUCACCCUGGUCACAACAGAGCUGCUCCAUAGCAACGGGAACGGAGGCCCCAGGUGACCACAGGAGAGCCCCGUCCCCAGUCCCACAGAGACCUGAGUGCUCAGAGGAGCCCAGUGAGAGCACUCGUGCAGGCUGUUUGCAUCCUGUGGGGUCUCAAAUAAAAGGGGUUUGCACUCAAGCCCCCACAGGCAUUAGUCCUCCAUGUAUCCUUCCUUCUUUCCCCUCCCCUCAGGGAGAGCUCCGAAAAUUUAACAGCCUAUGCAGCAAAGACAAGUCUCUGAGCAGAAAACUGAUGACCAAGGAAGCUUUCCAGAAGCAUCUACAAAGUGUUGAGAUGCUCAUAAACCUCCAGUUCGUGAAGAUGUGGAGAGAAACCACCGUCCAAAGAGAGACCAGUAGAUGUUUACUUUGUAAGCAAAAGAGAGGUAUCAUUGUUGCAUCUGAAACCGUGUCUCCAUCUUGCCCAGUUGCACUGAAUUUUCUCUUUUUUAUUACCUAGUGGCCAGCACUUCCUCAGUACUCAGUUCAGGAUUCGAAAAUAAGAUUAAGAUCCUAAUGCACCUCAAAGUUGAGCAACCCUGGCUGGAAUAUCACAGAUCCUUGAGUUGGAAGAGACCCUUUAUUCUCCAGUGAAUUUAUACUCAAUGCAAAGAUCCCUCCUUCUACAGCAUCCUUGACAACUGACCACCCAGAUUCCGUGUAAAUAACUCCAAUGACAAGAAACUCAUUAAACUGAGCAGACCACUUUGUGUUUAAA